rnacentral:rRNA from 1 species
AACGAACGCUGGCGGCAUGCCUAACGCAUGCAAGUCGAACGAGACCUUCGGGUCUAAUGGCGCACGGGUGCGUAACGCGUGGGAACCUGCCCUUAGGUUCGGAAUAACUCCCCGAAAGGGGUGCUAAUACCGGAUAAUGUCUUCGGACCAAAGAUUUAUCGCCUUUGGAUGGGCCCGCGUUGGAUUAGCUAGUUGGUAGGGUAAAAGCCUACCAAGGCGACGAUCCAUAGCUGGUCUGAGAGGAUGAUCGGCCACACUGGGACUGAGACACGGCCCAGACUCCUACGGGAGGCAGCAGUGGGGAAUAUUGGACAAUGGGCGAAAGCCUGAUCCAGCAAUGCCGCGUGAGUGAUGAAGGCCUUAGGGUUGUAAAGCUCUUUUACCCGGGAUGAUAAUGACAGUACCGGGAGAAUAAGCGCCGGCUAACUCCGUG